rnacentral:lncRNA from 1 species
CUACAAUCUUUAUAUCCAUGGUCCAGUAUACACAAAUAUGUAGAAAUCCAAUUAAGCGUAGUGAGAAACAAAUUAACCACUUAUCAACUUGGUCGCGUCAAACAAAUAGCUAAUUUUCUAGGAAGCCACACAAACCAAUAUUCGUCUACAGUCGGAUCAAAAUAUAAAUUCAUGAUUCUCAUUCACAAAGCAUUGAUAGAAUCCAAUUCAUGGUCAGAAAUAAAUUCAUAUGCAAAUAAUUUCAGUAUCAAAAUCCUAGACUAUGGUCAAGCACAAAGAACCAAAUAUUAAAAUUACAAUUCCUCUAGUGAAUGAAAACUAAUCAUCAAUAUGAAAUUCACGAAUUAAACAAUCAUAUAACUAGAGUAAUCAUAAUUAGGGCCUCCUCUUAACCUUAGCUAAGAGUUUAGAACCCCAUGAACAAAGAAUUCAUAUUAAUUCUAAGAAGGAAAAUUUGCAUAAAAUAAAACUAGAGAAAAAGAACCAAAUUGUUACUGCUUUGCCGCUGCCUUGUUCCACGCCAGAAGAAGAAGCCGGAGUCCCCCCUCUUUGCUGCUGCUUUUCCUUUUAUCGGUUGCACACCGUGAAAAUUAAUAAGAAUCAAAGCCCUACAUGUCAAGCCCACUCCAAGUCUGAUUUAGUUUCCUUUUGAAUCCCUCUUCAAUGCUAAACUCCAACUGGAAUACGAAAGCAAAAACAUCUUCCAGCACGUCAAAUCUAUUUCCUUUUUCAUCUCUCCUUAGUCCUCCUACUUCUUUUGAGCCCAUGCCAAAAUUCAAUUUGAUUAAAAAUCAAGAAUGCCCACUCCAUCUCCAUGUACUCAAAACCACACGAAUUGGAAGUAAAAUUUGUAAAAUACUUUCCCAUCUUUCUCUCUGCUUUCGCUUGACUAAAACUCCAAAGGUAGAAUGAAGAAAAUGCAUCCACUCUCACCGCUUAAUUUGUCGGUUGAAGUCCCUCAUCUGUGGUUAAUGACAAAGGCCACGUCUCCUCUUUAACUCAUAGCCAAAUAACUUGAAGUCACACCACCAAUUGGCCUUCGAUCUAAGAAUAAAAUAAUAAUUGAUUAAAUGGAUGAAGCCAAUGGUUAGGAAGACUAUAAUGUAUAGAAUGUGUUAAGAUCACGUUAAAUUCCACUUUUAUCAAUAAGCAUCAUAAUCCUUAUAAAUUACAAAAACUUAAGUAAUUUACUAAGAAUAAUUUUUAUGAGGCACUAACAAAUAUAAAUAAUAGGGUAACAAUUGUAAUAAAUACGUGUUUAUCAUCCUUCGUAUUUUCGGAGGUGAAAUUGCCAACGGAGUCAGAAGGUGAUUCCGGUGACGACCCUCCUAGAUUGAUAGGUGCAGCUUCGUUUAUACCACCUUGAUCUGAAUGAAAAUAAAAAAAAUAAUUAAAUAAAUAAAUAAAAAGUAUUGAACAUCGAUAUUAAAUUUGGUUUAUUACAGGUAGAUGAACGCAGUGUAAUUAAAUAAUGGACCUAUGCAACUAAUAUGUACUUAGUGAAUCAUCAAAAGGGAGAAAAAUUGUUUGGUAAUUAGUAUUAGGUACUAAAUUACUAAUCAAUGGCCAUGCCAUUUUCAGAGCUUGAUCAAUAUUUGAUAAUAUCGACAAAUAACCAAAAAAGUUCGAACGCUGUACAAAUUUAAGUACUAUAAUUUGGUAUUUGUAAGUACCAAAAAAAGAAUUGC